rnacentral:rRNA from 1 species
AUGUUGGAGGAUACGUCCACAGCAGAUGUGACCUUCAAUGUUGAACAAGAAACAUUUGCUGCCCACAGAGCGGUGCUUGCUGCGCGGUCACCUGUCUUCCGGAAGCAGUUCAGCGAACCCAUGAAUGAGAAGAAGAUGAGCCGCAUAACCAUCAACUCUGUGGAACCAGCGGUUUUCAAGGCUCUUCUCCAUUUCAUUUACACCGAUUCCUUGCCUGUGAUGGAUGAUUUCAGUAGAGCUGAAAGCAAUGCUGUUUUCCAGCAUCUACUUGCAGCAGCGGAUCAAUAUGGUUUAGAGAGAUUGAAGCUUAUGUGUGCACACACCUUGGUUAUGAACCUUAAUGUGGAGAAUGUGGCUAGUGCACUAUGGCUAGCUGAUAAGUACAAUUGCCAGAAGCUUAAAGAAGCUUGCGUCAAUUUUAUGGCCCCUUCCAACAGAGUCGAUGCUGUGGUGGCAAGCCAAGGGUACCAGCUUCUGAAAAGAGGUUCCCCCUCUCCAUUAGCAGAUGUGUGGGAGAAGAGGAGCCGUGCUCGCCAAAGCUUUCUUUAG